rnacentral:rRNA from 1 species
AGAGUUGAUCAUGGCGUCAGGAUGAACGCUAGCGGCAGGCUAACACAUGCAAGUCGAGGGGCAGCGCGGGUAGCAAUACCUGGCGGCGACCGGCGAAAGGGUGAGUAACGCGUGAGCAACGUGCCCGUAUGUGGGGGAUAGUCAUUGGAAACGAUGCGUAAUACCCCGUAACACAAAUCUUCGCAUGGGGAUUUGUUGAAAGAUUUAUUGCAUACGGAUCGGCUCGCGUGCCAUUAGGUAGACGGCGGGGUAACGGCCCACCGUGCCGACGAUGGCUAGGGGUUCUGAGAGGAAGGUCCCCCCACAUUGGAACUGAGACACGGUCCAGACUCCUACGGGAGGCAGCAGUGAGGAAUAUUGGACAAUGGCCGGAAGGCUGAUCCAGCCAUGCCGCGUGCGGGAUGACGGCCCUAUGGGUUGUAAACCGCUUUUGCGAGGGAGCAAUAAGUGUUACGAGUAACACGAUGAGAGUACCUCGCGAAUAAGCAUCGGCUAACUCCGUGCCAGCCGCAGC